AUUGAACGCUGGCGGCAGGCCUAACACAUGCAAGUCGAGCGGAUGAAGGGAGCUUGCUCCUGGAUUCAGCGGCGGACGGGUGAGUAAUGCCUAGGAAUCUGCCUGGUAGUGGGGGAUAACGUCCGGAAACGGGCGCUAAUACCGCAUACGUCCUGAGGGAGAAAGGGGGGGAUCUUCGGACCUCACGCUAUCAGAUGAGCCUAGGUCGGAUUAGCUAGUUGGUUGGGUAAAGGCCUACCAAGGCGACGAUCCGUAACUGGUCUGAGAGGAUGAUCAGUCACACUGGAACUGAGACACGGUCCAGACUCCUACGGGAGGCAGCAGUGGGGAAUAUUGGACAAUGGGCGAAAGCCUGAUCCAGCCAUGCCGCGUGUGUGAAGAAGGUCUUCGGAUUGUAAAGCACUUUAAGUUGGGAGGAAGGGCAGUAAGUUAAUACCUUGCUGUUUUGACGUUACCAACAGAAUAAGCACCGGCUAACUUCGUG
rnacentral:rRNA from 1 species